UCCUUUGUGGUGCAAUGGUUAGCACACUCGGCACGUAUUCAAGAGGUCCAGGUUCAAGUCCAGGCAAAGGGC
rnacentral:tRNA from 1 species